UAGGGCCCCCACAUUGGUUGUCACGUUCAUUCAAACUUUUUUUAUGUUUUUAGGUGUUUUAUUUAUUUUAUUUUAAAGCAGAUCUAAGAAUGUUCUUUAAAGUGUCUUAAAAACCACAAGUAAAAAUAUUUCUUAAAUAACCCUUUGUCCUAUGAAUACCUAUGGCAUUGUCUGAGACAAACAUAUCACUUAAAAAACACAAAAGCAGAAUACUGAGGGAACAAAUUUAGCUUAAGUGCAGAAAAUAUACAGAAAUUUAAUUCCACUAAAUCUUAAUUUAGUAGCAUAAUAGGACCCCUAAACUUUGCUUCUAUUGGAGCAUGGGAUCUGAAUAUAAAGAAUCAAACCUGUAGCUCUAUGUCCUGAUGCUCUGCUAAGGUGUCUAGACUGUUAUCAAUGGCACAUAGGCACCCUAAAAUACAGUUCACUCAUCCUGUUGAAGCUCAGGCUCUUGCUUUAAGAAUCAUAAACAGAAAAAAGGGUGUCAGAACAACUAAGAAGCAAAACAACCCCACAUUAUGGAAACAGCAUUUAACAUACUCCCAUGCUGUCAGUAAGUGAAAAUGGUAUUCCAUGGUAGAAUUGACGUUCAUUCAAACUUUUAAUGAGAACUUCCUUUGGUGUUUUCUCAGGCUCUGCUGGAACACCAGCUGAUCUCACCUCCUCAGUGGUAACUGGAGGUGCCACAGCACCCCUGCACACCAGCCUCACCAGUUCUAGGACCACAGAAGGCAAAGGAAGUCCCACUGUGUCAGUGUCUACUCAAGGAGAAGUCAGCACAUCCAGGGAACACAGCACUGCAGCUACAAGCCCAGGAACCUCAGGUAAUUCCAUACAUGCACCUCAGUGUCUUCAAUAUGUCCAACUAAGAAAACAUGACUUCUGUGGUGAACAUAGAGGAAAGACAGGGUAUUGAAGGUUUGAUUGCAUUUCCCAGAAUCACUUUCAAAGCAGCAAUACAUUAGAAUCACUGAUCUUGUUUGCCAGGUUCAACAGGAGCAUCUGCAGGAACCACCUCAGGAACAGGUAAAGAAAGCUCUCCUGGAAGACCAGGCAUAGGGACCUCCAGUCCUGUUACACCAUCAGGUC
rnacentral:lncRNA from 1 species